UGCAUGACGUGGUUGUGACGUCAGAGUGUCGUUAAGUUCGUGUGACUGUGUGGUGUUGCUGCAAGUGGUGUGGAAAACUUGGGUCUAAAAUUGCAGAUAUGGGGGUUUCACUGCAAUUUAGGGACGUCGGAUUAAAGAAGCUGCAGACAGAGGAACUUGUCGAGUGGAUAAGUAAAGUCCGCUCUAAGAAAUCUACAAUGAAGAGAAAGCGUAGGAGGGAUCUAAGAGUGGAGGCGAUUUUGUCAAGCGCAUUGCUUAGGGCGGAACACGAACUUAAAAGCAAGCAGCAAGAACGCUACAGGCGUUGGCAGCGAGUGAAAGUGGAGCUUUGCAAGAAUUUGGAAACUUCUAGACAAAAGGUCACCAAUUCAGAUUGGGACUAUCAGGCAUGCGAUGAUAUUAACAGCUUUAAUAGUUUCAUGUCUAUGUUGAAAGAAGUGAAGAUAUCGCCGCAGAGAUGAUCAUAGGAGAUUUCAUCAUGGCGUCUCGUGACAGACGGUCCUGUGGUCUGUUGUGGCGGUAGAUCGCAACUUGAAGCAAAUGGCGUUGCGGUUUGUAAUGACGGGACUUCUGUAAUUUCAUUGGUUGAAAUACUUUUGUAAUUCAUAUUGAAUUGUACGUGCAUUCUACGAAUGUCUGUAACAUCGGUUGCAUAUUGAGUUUUUGUUAACUCUUAAAUGAAUGUUCCUUCAAAAUAAAAUUUGUAAAAUUUUUAAUUUUUGUGUAUGUAAAUUAUUCUUAUUUAUUAAAAAAUGGUUCUUUUGUCAGAUUACACAGGCCAACAUGGUAAAUGAAAUACGAGCAGUUCAGCUACUUAUUGGCGGAAAUGGUCGUGGAGUGUUUUUGCCGACGAAGUUUCAGCAUAAAUGGUUGGUUAAUACGUUUAAACUUUAGAUUAAUCAGAGUUAAAUGGCAUCUUGACAUCUUCUGUAUGAUGAAGACGUGUUCUAUGGCCAUUGCUCCUUAAUGGGUAUAUAUGACUUCUGGCAGUACUGGCUCACUGAAAGCAACGUUAUUGGUGCCUUGUGGAUGAAGUAAGGUGGAGUGUGAAACUGCACCAGCAUCAUGUACAUCUACAAGCACAAAUAUUCUCCAGUUUGUGGAUCGUUUAUUGAUGGCUAUAGGAUUUUUGUCACAUUUUUUCCAGUGAAUUGUGUGAGAGGCAGGGUUUUGUAAUGAUCCCAUGGAUUCUAAUGCAGGAAGCCAUAAUUUCUGUGAAAACUGGUGGAUGCUCAUUGAAUUCUAUAAGGAAACACACAUGGUCCUGUUGAUUGGCUAUUUCAGAAGAAUGAGGUAAUGAAGGCAGCAGCUUGUAGCUCAGAUAAAAUUUACUCUGUGAUUGAAUGUUUGUUGCAAGGGCAAUGCUGCUGGCUGGUACACAGCAUGCCAUGUGUCAAUGCAAUUAAUAUAAACCUGUUUGACUCUUUAUUCUCUGAACUUUGUAAUGUGUUUUGCCUGACAAGGUUCUUCAUGUCUCUAAAAUGGGAACACAGUGAGUGCACAAAGCACGAGAAAAAACUGAAAUUGGCAGAUGAGUGGCCCCUUCCAUUCAACUUGCUGAAACAUCAAUCACAAAGUUAUUUUAAUCGGUGCAAAGAAGUUAUACUUCUUUAAAGCUGGAGUAUUUAUUAAUGCAACAACAAUCAAUAUUUAUUUUGAUAAUUUCCUUCAAGUUUUUAUUGUGAUUUUAUUUCUAAUUUUCCUGCUGUAUUUGAAAAUUUUUGAAUUGACUUUUAUACUUGUGAACUGGCUUUUAUUGCAUAGUUUUUGUGAAUCACCCAUUCAUUGUCAGGACACCUGUUAUUACAAAGUAAUCCUUAAAAUUUGUGAUUUGUAACACUGUUUAGUUGCUAGUGUUAAAUCGUUGGUGUACUUCUUUGCUAACUGAAUGACAUCAAAAUAUAAUAGCAAAUACUUAUUUGCUGUUAGCAGAUGAAAUAAAGAAACUUCAUAUAAUGUAGUGUCUGUUGGAAAGUUAAGUUUAAGGAAACAAGCCGUGAUUUUUUUACUCUACACUACCCGUAGUAAAACCUUAGAUCUUGAACAAGACUUUAUUUUGUAGUUUGAUAAAAACAUAUGGUGACAAAUAUGUUGAAAGUAUCAAGAUGCUGCUUGUGUUGGUUGUAAAAAUUGGAGAUGUAAUGCAUUCGUGGAUGCAGCAUCUUGUUGUUAGGUAAGUACUUAAAAUUGUAAUACUGGCACUAGUUGGUGAGAGAAUUUCAAUUGACUAAAGCUUCUUGCAGCAUCAUCCCAUUUUAAAUGUAACAGUUCAGCAAAAAAAAAAAAAAAAUUGAUUUGUGUUGAAUAACUUGCACAAAAUUUGCUGGGGAAAGUGAGAGAUGGUACAACACAGGAAAGCAUGCUAUAUAUUAAAAAUGUGAAUGGAUGAAAUGAGGUAAUAUCUCAAAGCAAUUGAUGCUGUUCACUAUUAUGUGCAAAGAUUCCAUCAAUGUCACUAAGGGAGAAUGAUUUCCGUAUAUUGCUUAUGUCUCCAUAUGCCUGCCUGAGUGCAACCUUGUGCUUUUACUGGUAACACACCCUUUGAUAAAACAUUGGUCUGUUUCUCCAUAAACUGAUCACUGAUGGCAUUUGCACCAUUAAGAAAGGUUAACACAUUUUUGUAAUAAGUAGCUUCUGGAGAGUUUUGCAGCUGUAAAAGUUUGAUCACCUCUUGACAGUUACCAGGGCAGCUAGGGAAAUACAUUAGGUUUGGCUGAGUCACCAGUAGGUUCUGAGUUCAGCAGCCCCUAUUAUUUAAUUUCUUAGGCGUACUGCAUUAAUCAGUUUAGUACCAGUGGAGCAUUGGACACAUGUGCAUUUGACAGCAUAAUAAAAAUUAUAAAAAAAAGUUUAGUGAAAUGAUUUGUCUAAAAUCAAGAAAUAAAACACAUGAAAUAUUUGAUGUGAAUGUUGCUUGAAAUCAUGUAGAGCAAUUCAAACACUGAACCAAAGAUGUGGUUGAUAUUGUUAGGAAAAUCAUGUAUUUAAAUAUUUAAAAUCAUUAACAAAGAACUGUAGCAGCUGGGAUGUUCAUACAUCAGAUCUUGUCACGUGUGUUCUUUUCAGAUGUUUGAAAAAUUUUCUAUUGAAAAAUCUAAGACUGAAAAGUUGUUGAACUUCAUUAUUCCUCGGAUAGUGAUAGAAAUUUCAGGGCCACUGAAGACCAGACUGCAAAGUCUACAUAAUCCACCUGAAAAUUAUCGUUUAGUUCUCUUCAGAAUUCUUUGAUUCUACAUUAAACUUGGAAGCUUAGGUUCUCAAUCAGCACCUAAUUUGCUGUUCAAGCUUCAUUUAAAGGUCUGAUGUGUUUCUAAUCUGUUUUCUUACAUUUUUGCAAAUUAUUUCACAGAACAGACUUUUCAAGGUUUUGCAAUUUUUAUGUUUUGUUCAGAAAGCAUGAAAAAUAAAAAAUUUCAAUGUAGAUCAAAAAAAUUUCAAUGUAGAUCAAAAAAAUUUCAAUGUAGGUCAAAAAAAUUUCAAUGUAGGUCAAAAAAAUUUCAAUGUAGGUCAAAAAAAUUUCAAUGUAGAUCAGUGCUGUAUUAUUAAAGUUUGUAGGUCAAGAGAAAGCAAAUGAGGUAUUAACUGAAAUGUAAAGUUCAAUUUUAAGCUUAGUUUUAAAGAGUACUGGAGGCUUUUUGUCUGAUGGCUUUUUGUCUGAUGGCUUUUUGUCUGAUGGCUUUUUGUCUGAUGGCUUUUUGUCUGAUGGCUUUUUGUCUGAUGGCUUUUUGUCUGAUGGCUUUUUGUCAAUUCCCCAGUUUACUUUCUCCUAAUUAAAUCUUCUCCAGAAUUCUCUUCCUGCCAUGGAGUAUGCACUGAUUUGAAACUUUCUGGAAAAUUGAAACUUUAUGCCAUAUUGGGUAUCAAGCCUUUCGUGGGCAAAUUAUCAUAGACAGAGCUACUGAUGCACAACUCCCACUCACAGCUUUACUUCCACGAGUACCUCAUCUCCUACCUUUCAAACUAACUCUUAUGGAAUUUAAGAUAGGAUAUGGAAGUUCUUGUGGAAGUAAAGCUCUGAGAAAGGAUAAUGAAUUGUGCUUGGAUAGCUCAGUCCGUAUGGUACUUUUCGACAAAAAGCAAAGUUUUGAAUCCAUCUGCCAUGCAGUAUGACAGGAAGUUAGAAUUUGUUUGGCCAAACUGGAUCUCGUGCUGGUCAAUUUGACUGGCUAUGAAAAUUGUAGUGCACAAUUUGUAGGGAGUCCACUCCUUUGCACAAGGAUUGAAUUGCACAAGAAACUACGCACUGUGUCAUCAUGUAGCAUUGGAAACCUGAUUUAGGAAACUGAUUUUGCUAUGUGAAGUUAAGAAUGAUAAAAAGUAUCUACAUAUUGGCAGCGGUAGCUUAAUGAAUUUGCACAUCUGUGGCAUAGGUGGUCUAAUAGGCAACAGCCUGGGGACAAGGUCUGGUUUGUAUCUAGUUAAAACAAUUUUUUGUUACUCUAUUAAUUUGUUUAAUCUGUAGAAAUCACAAAGCUUAUAGAACAGUUCAGUUCUUAAGGUAUUUUAGGCCCUCUAAUAGGCACAACAUCAGACUUGUUUACCACUUUUGUGUCCAGAGGUGUUAAACAUUAAUUUGCAAGGAAGAGUAUCUGGAGAGGUGGGGGGUGCUAAAUGUUGCAAUUUUUACAAAUUAUUCUAUUAGUGUAUGUGGUGUGCUAUAGAAAAAUGCUGAAGAUUAGAUGGGUAGAUCACAUAACUGAGGCAUUGAAUAGAAUUGGGGAGGAGUUUGUGGUACAACUUGACUAGAAGAAGGGAUCGGUUGGUAGGACAUGUUCUGAGGCAACAGGUGAUCACAAAUUUAGCAUUGGAGGGCAGUGUGGAGGGUAAAAAUCGUAGAGAGAGAGACAGGUGAAUACACUAAGCAGAUUCAGAAGGAUGUAGGUUGCAGUAAGUACUGGGAGAUGAUGAAGCUUGCACAGGAUAGAGUAGCAUGGAGAGCUGCAUCAAACCAGUCUCAGGACUGAAGAUGACAACAACAUGUGAUGUGAUCCAUUUAUGUGAGUAACAGAUUCAUUAAACUCUAAAUUUCACUUGACGAAAUCAUGGAAAUUAUCAAAGAAAUUUAGACAACAGUAGAAUUAAAAUGGGAAGUAUGCACUUAUUCACCUCCCUGUACAAAAAGGUGACAGAAUGGGUGUCAACAAGUACUGUGGAAUUACACUGCCACCUACAUCUCUUCAUGCCUAUGGCAGAGAACACGAACAAAUUGAACACAAGAUUAGGGAGCAUAAAGUGGGUUUCGGACUCUGACAUUCCUACCCUGAAUAAAUUUUUAAUCUAAAAAUGUUGAAAUACAGAGCUAUUACACAUAAGCCCGCCAUAUGUACAUUCACAUGCUUCAAGAAGGUGUAUGACUGUCGACUGUAAAUCCCUUGUCAACACUCUAAUAGAACUCUGACUUGACCAGAAAACAUGUGAGCUUAUUGAACAGACACUCUCCAGCAUAACCUAUAAAGUAAAAUUCACGGGGGAAAUCUCAGAACUGGAGACAGACUAUCUCCAAUUUUGUUCAGUAUCAUGUUGGACAAGAUCAUAAGGAAUGGGAGAGUGAGCUUAGAAAAUGUGACCUAUGGAAACCAAUGAAGAUUGGAAGGUAAACUGAAGUCACCUGCCUAGCCUUCGUUUAGGACCUUUCAAUUAUGACACAGCGAACAAAAUGCAACACACCAAAUAGAAAUACUCGAGGAAUGCACCGAGAAGGUUGGCUUGCAAAUUUCUUUUGAGAAAAUGGAAUUUGUGUUCACCCUUAAACAUACAGAAUCUAACCACAAAAUAUGGAUGGAUAAACAGUUCCACAUUUUAAUUACCUAGGGAAAUUUUGGAACCCACCGGACUAGAAAAAUCUCAAAUUCGAGCACAGAAACUAAAGAGAGCCUAUGGUCAAAUGCACACACUUUACAACAAAAAAGUGUAUGUCCAUGCAUGCAAAAAUCACACUAGAGAACUGUCAUUAAACCUGAGGUGCUGUACGUAGCAGAGAACUUGUCACUCCGUAACAAGAUACUACUACAAAAUCUGCAAAAAAGAAAAAGGUCAUUAGGAAAAUCUGUGGACCAGAAAAACUGAAGCUGGAUAUAGACUGCAAACCAACGAAACUAGAGGGAAUUUCAAAUAUUGCUGCUGACAUUAGAUUAAGAUGCCUCAAAUUCUAUGGACACACACAGACUCCCUGACUAUCAUGCCAGAUACUCACAGCCAAUGAAAACCUUAAAGGUAUGACAUGGGCCAUACAAGUACGAAGAGACCUUACUGAUGCUCAGCUCGCCAUUCAGGACACUGUAGACUGUAAUAUCUACAGAUGCAAAAUAGAAAAGUGGGAAGUCCAGCCAGGGACAAGAGCCAAAAAUUCUGCUACAAAGUGGAUAGAUAAAGAAAGCAAGUCAUGAGCGAGAAAAUGGUCUCGUGGAAAAACUGCAGAACUGUACAAGCUUUGUGUGAUCCAUAGUGUGUGUGUGUGUGUGUGUGUGUGUGUGUGUGUGUGUGUGUGUGUGUCAGUAAUAUUUUUCAUAAGUGAUUUUCAACAAAAUUGUGUUAUGCUAGAAUAUGCAGAUGGCACCAAUACCUCCUAAGCUUUAACACUUCUGUGGUUGCAUUUUAGGGAAUAGACGUGCAAUAUAAUUGAUAGUAAAUUGGUUCAUUUAAGAAUGUACAGGUCUUUUUGUAGCUGGCUUGCAGUGUGGCACAAUAUAUUAUGUAGCAACAAAUUAGAGAUCUCAAUUCUAGAAAAACAGAAAGAUACAGUAUUGCCAGGAUUGGUAUAAAUGUAUUUUGUUAAUGUGGGUAUUUGGAUUGGAGAUGAAGGCAUUAUGAAACAAUGGAAAAAAUUGAAAUAGCAUUAAUCAUUCAGAAUUUUAUCUGGAGUUGUGGGACAGGAUUCCUGAUUUGAUAAGUGUAUGUCUGCACCAUCACAAAUGCUCUUUUUUAAAAGUUUGUUAGUGUCUUCAGGCAAAUUAAGAGUUGUAAUGUGCCACUAUUUAAUGGGAGUAACCAAAAAUUGUGAACACUGUCAUGGACUAGAAGUAAAUUUUUACUUUAAUCCAGAAAAUGGAGCUAGUUAACAUAACUGUGUUAUACAAAGCACAACUUCAGUCAGUUUAUUGAGACUGUGUUCUAAAUUAGCAUGAGACACUCUUGGCAACAUCACUAAAUCAGUAAUUGAUAAGAUAUUGUGCUUCAAUCACAGGUAUUAAUCAUACAUCAUAAUUAAACAGUAUUUGUUGAUGAAGGUGGUGGUGUAAAGGAGGGAAAGAAGAGACUGCAUGUUUCUCAGACUUCUUCAUAACAUAAUAAGAUCAAGGUAACUUUAAAAAGAGGAAAUGUGCUUAAAGAACAUUACUUGAUUUUGAACACAGAUCAGUACUUUGAUUGUGAGAGUGUUAACAAUAUAGCGGGUUGCAAAUGGGAACUUAAGUCGCGUUUCGUCUGUUAGAAGACUAGGUAAAAACAUUAAAUUGGCUUUAGAACAGGAUGGUGACAUUAAGACAAAAGAUGAAGGAAAAUUAAUUCAAAAUGGAAUGUCUAUCAAAUGAAGUAAAUUGCAUUAAACUGUCUCUUAACUGUUGUCACAAGAAUAAAUUACAGCACUAAGAUUUGUAGUGGACAUGUCAGUAGUGUGCAGGAUAAGGGAGAGGUCGAAAAUUGAACUGAAUUAUGAUUGCUAUCUUUCUUAUGUAUUAGUUGCUCUUGUUACAUAUGACUUGCACCCUGGAAGAUAUUGCAGAUCGUUUCACACUUAAGCAGAGGACUAGAAGAUAGGGGAAGAUGGAAGUAGUGAGUGGGCAGCAAAUUGUCAGGUUUCCAACCAUGGGAAUCUAUGCUGUGUACACUGGCUUUUUAGGAAUGUCUCCCAUAUAUAAACUGCCAUUUACAUACAUUUGACUUAACUUCAAAAUGGGACAAAUAGUCAACAAUAGUAUCAAUAUCUGCAGGAGACAGUAAAACUCCAGAUAGGGACUAGUGGCAGACUUGUUUCAUUCUGCGAUAUUGUCGACACUCGCCUUGAUGUAUGACAAGAACAAAAAGGGGCAUGUCAUCUGAUGGCUCUACACACCCAAUGAGAGUGCGGUGGGUGCAUGUGAUGGGAAGUGAGAGAGAUUGCAACAUUACCAAAUCUGGAUAGAAGUGAAAUCUGUUAUGUAUUCAGAUAAAAGCCAGUAUGUUCUCAUGUCCUCAGAAAUAGCUAUGUAUGUGAAAGAAGUGAUCAAAUAUAUGUGACAUCGGAGACAUAAAUUUCAGCGUGGUGGUGCCGGUGCAGCCGCCGCCACAGAUGGUAGUAAUUGAAAAGUCUAGAAAAAGACAUGGUACGGGAAUUGGAAAAUGACUCGGUACGGGAAUUUGUCAACCAAUAUCUUUCCAUCUAUUUUAUGCGUGUAGUUACUUUCCUUACAUGUUAAUGUUUUCCAUUUCACAGCUUUUUAAAUAUCGGGGAAAUUAGUAAUUCUACAGGUAAAGGAUCUGAUGCAAGUAGCAUACAAUGUGUGAAUACUUCAGACCGAAACUUUGAGGAAACUGUGAGUAGGUGGUUGGAGGAAUCAGAUGAUAGCGACUGUGACGAAAAUCCUGAAGAAAGAAACUGAACCCAUUGUGAGUGAGCAUGGCACUGUCAGGACAGUGCAACAGAAAAUUGCUCUGAUGAAAGUAGUGAGCCAUGUGAUGAGCUACAGAGAAGCAAUUACUUCUCUGGCAAGAAUCAGUACAAAUGGGCCAAAGCACAUCCGAUCUGAGCUGUUACAACGCCUCGCCAUAACAUCAUGAAAUUUCUACCUACCACGUUGACUACAGGAGAUCCUAAAGACCCAUUUUCAUUAUGGCAUAUAGAUUUCGAUGACUAAGUUCUCGAUCACAUCCUACUAGGGACAAAUGCUAAAAUAGAUUGCGUCAGGCAGAAGUACUCUCGACAAAAGCAAAGCUGAACUUCAGGACCUGGAUUUGGGUGCACUUUUGACUUUUUUUAGGACAUCUGGUAAAUUCUGUUUUUAAAUCCAACCACGAAAAUGUAAAUUAAUGUGCUAUUUUCAAAUGUGCCAUGUCUAGGAACUGUUUCCUAAUGUUGUUCAACUGUUUACGGUUUGGUGGCUUUUGAAAUAGUGUCUAAAAAUUGACAAAAUGGCAGCAGCCUCAUUUCCCUUUAGAAAAAUUGCUGUUGCGGUAGUGCGAAUGGCUGAAAGCAAGGGGAAACUACAGCCGUAAUUUUUCCCGAGGGCAUGCAGCUCUAGUGUAUGGUCAAAUGAUGAUGGCGUCCUCUUGGGUAAAAUAUUCCGGAGGUAAAAUAGUCCCCCAUUUGGACCUCCGGGCGGGGACUACCAAAGAGGACCUCGUUAUCAGGAGAAAUAAAACUGGCAUUCUACGGAUCGGAGCGUGGAAUGUCAGAUCCCUUAGUCGGGCUGGUUGGUUAGAAAAUUAAAAAAGGGAAAUGGAUAGGUUAAAGUUAGAUAUAGUGGAAAUUAGUGAAGUUCAGUGGCAGGAGGAACCUGACUUCUGGUCAGGCGAAUACGGGGUUAUAAAUACAAAAUGAAAUAGGGGUAAUGCAGGAGUAGGUUUAAUAAUGAAUAGGAAUGCGGGUGCGCUGCUACAAACAGCAUAGUGAAUGUAUUAUAGUGGCCAAGAUAGACACGAAGCACAUGCCUACUACAGUAGUACAAGUUUAUAUGCCAACUAGCUCUGCAGAUGAUGAUUAAAUUGAAGAAAUGUAUGAUGAGAUAAAAGAAAUUGUUCAGAUAGUGAAGGGAAUCGAAAAUUUAAUAGUCAUGGGUGACUGGAAUUUGGCAGUAGGAAAAGGGAGAGAAGGAAACAGGUUAAUAUGGAUUGGGGGCUAACAAAUGAACGAGGAAGCCGUCUGUUAGAAUUUUGCACAGGAUAACUUAAUCAUAGCUAACACUUGGUUCAAGAAUCAUAAAAGGAGGUUGUAUAGAUGGAAGAAUCCUGGAGGACAUUUCCAGGGGCAGAUGUGGACUCUGACCACAAUCUAUUGGUUAUGAACUGUAGAUUAAAACUGAAGAAAUUGGAAAAAAGUGGGAUUUUAAGGAGACGGGACCUGGAUAAACUGACUAAUCCAGAGGUUGUACACAGUUUCAGGGACAGCAUAAGGAAACAAUUGACAGGAAUGGGGGAAAGAAAUACAGUAGAAGACGAAUGGGUAGCUCUGAGGGAUGAAGUAGUGAAGGCAGCAGAGGAUCAAGUAGGUAAAAAGACGAGGGCUAGUAGAAAUCCUUGGAUAACAGAAGAAAUAUUGAAUUUAAUUGAUGAAAGGCGAAAAUAUAAAAUGGAGUAAAUGAACCAUGCAAAAAGGAAUACAAACGUCUCAAAAAUGAGAUCGACAGGAAGUGCAGAAUGGCUAAGCAGGCAUGGCUAGAGGACAAAUGUAAGGAUGUAGAGGGGUAUAUUACUAGGGGUAAGAUAUACUGCCUACAGGAAAAUUAAAGAGACCCUUGGAGAAAAGAGAGCCACUUGCAUGAAUAUCAAGAGCUCAGAUGGAAAUCCAGUUCUAAGCAAAGAGGGGAAAGCAGAAAGGUGGAAGGAGUAUAUAGAGGGUCUAUACAAGGGAGAUGUACUUGUGGACAAUAUUAUGGAAAUGGAAGAGGAUGUAGAUGAAGACGAAAUGAGAGAUACGAUACUGCGUCAAGAGUUUGACAGAGCACUGAAAGACCAGAGUCGAAACAAGGCCCCGGGAGUAGACAACAUUCCAUUAGAACUACUGACGGCGUUGGGAGAGCCAGUCCUUACAAAACUCUACCAUCUGGUGAGCAAGAUGUAUGAGACAGGCGAAAUACCCUCAAGACUUCAAGAAGAAUAUAAUAAUUCCAUUCCCAAAGAAAGCAGGUGCUGACAGAUGUGAACAUUACCGAACUAUCAGUUUAAUAAGUCACAGCUGCAAAAUACUAACGCGAAUUAUUCACAGACGAAUGGAAAAACUGGUAGAAGCCGACCUCGGGGAGGAUCAGUUUGGAUUCCGUAGAAAUGUUAGAACACGUGAGGCAAUACUGACCCUAUGACUUAUCUUAGAAGGAAGAUUAAGGAAAGGCAAACCUACGUUUGUAGCAUUCGUAGACUUAGCGAAAGCUUUUGACAAUGUUGACUGGAAUACUCUUUCAAAUUCUAAAGGUGGCAGGGUAAAAUACAGAGAGCGAAAGGCUAUUUACAAUUUGUACAGAAACCAGAUGGCAGUUAGAGUCGAGGGCAUGAAAGGGAAGCAGUGGUUGGGAAAGAAGUGAGACAGGGUUGUAGCCUCUCCCCGAUGUUAUUCAAUCUGUAUAUUGAGCAACAGUAAAGGAAAGAAAAGAAAAGUUUGGAGUAGGUAUUAAAAUCCAGGGAGAAGAAAUAAAAACUUUGAGGUUUGCUGAUGACAUUGUAAUUUGUUAACAUCUAGUAUAGAGUUAAGUGUCAGGAAGUCAUUUCUGAAAGUAUUUGUAUGGAUUGUAGCCAUGUAUGGAAGUGAAACAUGGACAAUAAAUAGUUUGGACAAGAUGAGAAUAGAAGCUUGUGAAAUGUGGUGCUACAGAAGAAUGUUGAAGAUUAGGUGGGUAGAUCACAUAACGAAUGAGGAGGUAUUGAAUGGGAUUGGGGAGAAGAGGAGUUUGUGCAACUUGACUAGAAGAAGGGAUCGGUUGGUAGGACAUGUCCUGAGGCAUCAAGGGAUCUCAAAUUUAGCAUUGGAGGGCAGCAUGGAGGGUAAAAAUCGUAGAGGGAGACCAAGAGAUGAAUACACUAAGCAGAUUCAGAAGGAUGUAGGUAGCAGUUGGUACUGGGAGAUUGAGCAGCUUGCACAGGAUAGAUUAGCAUGGAGAGCUACAUCAAACCAGUCUCAGGACUGAAAACAACAACAAUAAGUUUUGACAUUUAAAAAGUAGUUUACUUGUUAGAAAGUUUGGAUGAUAAGAAGAAAAUUGUCAGUUGCUGGCAGUUUUUAAUAUGUACUCAAAUUUGUUGAAGGAAAAAUAAUAAAAUGCCUGUAAACGCAGUAGGUAAUAAGUGACAAUAACAAAUGUAGUAGAACCAACAUUUUAUUGUUACUCACAUAUAGUCUUUUUUUACACAAUUCUUCCCCAUCUUAAACUUCUUCCAUGAGCCUAAUUUUUUCUGAGGUUAGUUUUUAAAUCGGAGAAGAUAUUUUAAAUCGGUCUUGCGACUCCAAGAAAAAGUGUGUUUUUGUCACCAAAUGUUUCAUUUUGUUGAAAUAAAACAUUAGUGGUCUUAAUGAAAACACACACACACACACACACACACACACACACACACACACACACACACACACACCAUUUGGCUUGCAUUCUCCAGCUUAACAGUUCUUCACAACAGAUGUUUUUAGUGCUUAAGAUUUUUGUUCACAUCAGGAAACACCAUCUGCUUACAAGUUUUUUUAUAGAUAUCUCCUCGUUUGCACUAUUGUUUCUUGUUGCGAACAAGAGUUUGUUAACUUACUGUUGGGAUCUCAAAAUUUGUCAGGGAAAAAUGUUAAAACUUGUCAGGGAAUAUCAUUUGGGGAAACUUGCAUCAAUCCUGAGUCUAUUUUAGUGACACAGUUGAGCAAUUUGAAAAUAGGUACCUGUGUGAUUGAGUUAUUAUGUAAGUUUCUUAACGGCUCCUAAGCUUGAUGGCUGCUGUGUUCAAAUCAGUUUGUCAUCAGCUUUUUCUGUAGAUCGUCCUGAGAUUCAGGCAUGCUGUUUGAAGAGCAUGCUCACUAAGAAGCCCUUCAUUGAGAAGCUUAUAACAUUCUUUUAUCGUGACAGCUGAUUGAGCUGUUCUCUUUUAAGUAGCUUCUUCUGCAGUUUUUGGUACAGUUGUGUUUGUUUAAUAUUUGAGUGCAUUUGGAGUUCAAAUUAAGUGUGUUUGGAGAGAUUGUGCAAUUUUUCGUCAAACGUAAAGAAAUGUUCUUCAUCUCUGUCUUUAAGUUAUUCUUCCUCUUGAAUUAAAUCAUCCCGGGGUAUUCUGAAGAAAUGAUCUGCCACGUAAUUUGUCUAUGUUGAAAACUUGAUAUACAUGCACCUCUCUCUCUCUCUCUCUCUCUCUCUCUCUCUCUCUCUCUCUCUCUCUCUCUCUCUCUCUCUCUCUCUCUGGGAAUUGCUGCAUUAUGCAUUCACUUACUAAGUUUGUCUGGAUAGUUUGCUGUGCCACAUUUUGUUGUUAAGUAGAGGAAGUAGUUUACUACUUGGAUAAUGAUCCUUGUUUGUACUGUCAUAAGUUACUGUUUGGGGGGGGGGGGGGGGUUAAAAUUUCCCAUCACAGUAGUUCUUAAUCUACAUGUAUGUAAACAGAUGUAUGGAGACAAUAUCCAACAAUGUUGGUUUGUAUGGGAAGACAUUGUGUAGGUCUUGUUUUAUAAAAAUAGCACUACCAUAUUGACUAGUCUGUCAUCCACUAGCAACAUUCCUGGAGCAGUUGAAGUCUUUGUAAGUCAUCUCUGUAUGUUCCUUUCAUUAAAAAUGUCUUGAAUGAAUGCAUAAAAUGUAUUUAUCUCAGCCCAAAUUGUGUAAUGUUUGUCCUAUGACAGAAGUACUUUAUAGAAUUAUGAACACAAAACUGGGUUUCAAAAACUGGUUUCACUUUUGUAUUUGAAAUAGGUUUUGUUUGUGAUUGCUUUUGUAAGGCACUUGAAUGUUGUAACUUUUAACUCUUUGGAGAUGUUCUGCACCAUUAACUAGUGGCAUAAGUUUCUUGUUUCGAUUGUGGCUGAUAAGUGGAUUUUGCCAGAAAUUGGUGACUAAGUUCCUAAAUAAAAUUUCAUUAGGACAAAUCAGAUUUUGGCUGUGGUUUUUCGCUCUGUGAUGCAUUAAAACAGUCCCUGUGAUGUGGAUGUUGAUCACCGAAUUUUAAUAAUAAGAUGCAUAAGCUAUGAUUUUCCAAUGUGUCAGGACUCAGAUUUUUGUUGAACAGGAGGUACAUUGAUGGCACAUGAACAUGCUGGAUAAUAAGCGUCUUCCAAGUGGUGCCGUUCCUGUUGCAGUGUCAUUGUGUUGGGUUUAAUAAAUGUUAACAUAUUGAAAGUGAUACAGAAUUUUAUCAUUAAAUUUUAUUGCUUGUUAGGCAUGGCAUAUUACUUACACUAAUUUUUAAGUGGUCAUUCUCAGUUAAAAACUUCAAUGUUUAUUUUUGUAAAAGUCCAGUGAACUGAAUAUUUAUAGAGUAGUUUACAGUAAAACAAAGAACUCUGUAGCCCAGUAGGUCUUGUGGUGUUAAAAUAAAUGGAUUUGAAACUGGCCAUUAGUAAUUAUAUAUUGUCUGCAAUCUACUGAAUGCUGGAUUUCUGUUAACAAACCAAUUUAAUUUUUGUGAUGGAAUGUGAAAUAUAUUGUAUAUAAUUUUUAUGAAAUAUCCAGAGAUGACACGAUCUUGCACUUCUAUAUUAUUUACUAUAUACAUCUUUAAUAAAGACUAGUGCAGUAUGUACCGCA